rnacentral:lncRNA from 1 species
GACACUAUAUUUUUUCUGAUCGAUUUUGAUAUAUGGAACAUUGAAAUCGAAGUUUGUAUGUGAAAGUUAUGGCUGUUUUACGAACGGACUCCGAAUUAGAGGACAAAACGGUCCGAAAGUGGGAAAAUUUUGCGGCGGUGGCAAGAAAUUGAUGGAAACGGUGGGGAAAACACAUGAACUGGACUCUAACAAGACCUAACCAGCAACAAGACCUCGACCAGAACACAAACUCAACACUGCGGACUCUGAAACUGAAAUAUGCAAAGGUUAUGGCGCGGAAGGGUUGUAGGACAGGAAAACGAUAUGGCACUGGACUUAUGGGACGAACACAAGAACACUCAAAACUAAGGGUAGAUGUGAACCUAACGGUAUACCUGAAGCUUUGAUUACCACUUGAUAAGAACAAGGAUGGUCCGAUCUUCUGAAAGGUUCUGGUAACUCUUGAUUUGGUGGAGACGAGACAUAAAUUGAUCCGGCUUCCGAACAACACGAUCCGAAACCCUGCAAAUUUUUUAUUUUUUUGAUAUUUUUCUAUUACUUAGGUGCACUAAAGAAGUAACCAUAGAAAAUUUGAGCUUAAACAAGUGAAAGACGUGGCCUGCAGAAUUUUGUGAAGAUUACAAAAAAUGUGAAAAAAACUUCACAAGGUGAAAACUCAAAAUUCGAAGACGAAUUUGGAGAUUCUAAAAUUUUCAAACCCCCUAAAACCGAGGACAGACAGACACUAUAUUUUUUCUCAUCGAUUUUGAUAUAUGGAACAUUGAAAUCGAAGUUUGUAUGUGAAAGUUAUGGCUGUUUUACGAACGGACUCCGAAUUAGAGGACAAAACGGUCCGGAAGUGGGAAUAAUUUGUGGUGGUGGCUAGAAAUUGAUGGAAAUGGUGGGCAAAAACAUACCAACUAGACUCUAACAAGACCUAACCAGCAACAUCCUCGACCAGGACACAAACUUAAAAUUGCGGACUCUGAAACUGAAAUAUGCAAAGGCUAUUGCGCGGAAGGGUUGUAGGACAAGAAAACGAUAUGGCACUGGACUUAUGGGACGAAUACAAGAACACUCGAAACUAAGGGUAGAUGUGAACCUAACGGUAUACCUGAAGCUUUAUUACCACUUGAUGAAAUCAAGGGUGGCCCGAUCUUUCGACAGGUUCUGGUAACUCUCGAUUUGGUGGAGACGAGACAUAAAUCAAUGCGGCUUCCAAACAACGCGAUCUGAAACCCUGCAAUUUUUUUAUUUUAUUGAUAUUUUUAUUUUACUUAGGAGCAUUAAAGAAGUAACCAUAGAAAAUUUGAGCUUAAACAAGUAAAUGACGUGGCCUGCUGAAUUUUCUGAAGAUUGCGAAAAAUGUGAAAAAAACUUCACAAGGUGAAAACUCAAACUUCGGAGGUGAAUUUGGAGAAUCUAAAACUUUCAAAGCCGCAAAUAGCAGUGACAGACAGAUCCGAAUUUUUUUGAUCGAUUUUGAUAUAUCGAACAUUGAAAUCGGAGUUUGUAUGUGCAAGUUAUGGCUGUUUUACGAACGGACUCCGAAUUAGAGGACAAAACGGUCCGAAAGUGGGAAAAACUUGCAGCGAUGGCUAGAAACUGAUGGAAACGUUGGGGAAAAAACACGAACUGAACUCUAACAAGACCUAACCAGCAACAAGACCUCGACCAGGACACAAACUCAAAACUGCAGACUCGGAAACUGAAAUAUGCAAAGGCUAUGGCGCGGAAGGGUUGUAGGACACAAAAACGAUAUGGCACUGGACUUAUGGGACGAACACAAGAACACUCGAAACUAAGGGUAGAUGUGAACCUAAAUAUAUACCUGAAGCUUUGAUUACUACUUGAUGAGAACAAGGGUGGCCCGAUCUUCCGAAAGGUUCUGUUAACUCUCGAUUUAGUGGAGACGAGACACAAAUCGAUCCGGCUUCCGAACAACACGAAGGCAAACCCUGCAAUUUUUUUAUUUUUUUAUGUUUUUCUUUUACUUAGGUGCACUAAAGAAGUAACCACAGAAAAUUUGAGCUUAAACAAGUGAAAGACGUGGCUUGCAGAAUUUUCUAUAGAUUGUGAAAAAUGUGAAAAAAACUUCACGAGGUGAAAACUUAAACUUCGGAGGUGUAUUUGGAAGUUCUAAAUUUUUCAAACCCGCUUGUGGUAGGGACAGGCAAACCCGAAAUUUUUUCUGAUUGAUUUUGAUAUAUGGAACGUUGAAAUCGGAGUUCGUACGCGAAUGUUAUGGCUAUUUUACAAACGAACUGCGAAUUAGAGUACAAAACGGUCCGAAAGUGGGAAAAAUUUGCGGCGGUGCCCAGAAAUUGAUGGAAACGGUGGGGAAAAACAUACUAACUGGACUCUAACAAGACCUAACCAGCAACAACCUCGACCAGGACACAAACUCAAAACAACGGACUCUGAAUCUGAAAUAUGGAAAAGCUAUGGCGCGGAAGGGUUGUAGAACAGGAAAACAAUAUGGCACUGGACUCAUGGGACGAACAUAAGAACACAAGAAACUAAGGGUAGAUGUGAACCUAACGGUACACCUAAAGCUUUGAUUACCACUUGAUGAGAACAAGGGUGGCCCGAUCUUCCGAAAGGUUUUGGUAACUCUCGAUUUGGUGGAGAUGAGACACAAAUCGAUACGGCUUAUGAACAACACGAUCCGAAACCCUACAUUUUUUUUAUUUUUUUGAUAUUUUUAUUUUACUUAGGAGCACUAAAGGAGUAACCACAGAAAAUUUGAGCUUAAACAAGUGAAAGACAUGGCCUGUUGAAUUUCUCAAGAUUGUGAAAAAUGUGAAAAGAACUUCACGUAUUGGAAACUCAAACUUCGGAGGCGAAUUUCAAGAUUCUAAAAUUGUCAAACACGCAAAAGUGAGGGACAAACAUAUCUCAAAUUUUUUCUUAUCGAUUUUGAUAUAUGGAACGUUGAAAUCGGAGUUCGUAUGCGAAAGUUAUGGCUGUUUUACGAACAGACUCCGAAUUAGAGGACAAAACGAUCCGAAAGUGGGAAUAAUUCGCGGUGGUGGCUAGAAAUUGAUGGAAAUGGUGGGGAAAAACAUACGAACUAGACUCUAACAAGACCUAACCAGCAACAUCCUCGACCAAGACACAAACUCAAAAUUGCGGACUCUGAAACUGAAAUAUGCAAAGGCUAUUGCGCGGAAGGGUUGUAGAACAAGAAAACGAUAUGGCACUGGACUUAUGGGACGAAUACAAGAACACUCGAAACUAAGUGUAGAUGUGAACCUAACGGUAUACCUGAAGCUUUAUUACCACUUGAUGAGAUCAAGGGUGGCCCGAUCUUUCGACAGGUUCUGGUAACUCUCGAUUUGGUGGAGACGAGACACAAAUCAAUGCGGCUUCCAAACAACGCGAUCUGAAACCCUGCAAUUUUUUUAUUUUAUUGAUAUUUUUAUUUUACUUAGGAGCAUUAAAGAAGUAACCAUAAAAAAUUUGAGCUUAAACAAGUAAAAGACGUUUCCUGCAGAAUUUUCUGAAGAUCGCAAAAAAUGUGAAAAAAACAUCACAAGGUGAAAACUGAAACUUCGGAGGUGAAUUUGGAGAUUCUAAAACUUUCAAACCCGUAAAUAGCAGUAACAGACAGAUCCGAAUUUUUUUGAUCGAUUUUGAUAUAUGGAACAUUAAAAUCGGAGUUUGUAUGUGCAAGUUAUAGCUGUUUUACGAACGGACUCUGAAUCAGAGGACAAAACGGUCCGAAAGUGGGAAAAAGUUGCAGCGAUGGCUAGAAAUUGAUGGAAACGUUCGGAAAAAAACACGAACUAGACUCUAACAAGACCUAACCAGCAACAAGUCCUCGACCAGGACACAAACUCAAAACUGCAGACUCGGAAACUGAUAUAAAAAGGCUAUGGCGCGGAAGGGUUGUAGGACACAAAAACGAUAUGGCACUGGACUUAUGGGACGAACACAAGAACACUCGAAACUAAGGGUAGAUGUGAACCUAACGGUAUACCUGAAGCUUCGAUUACCACUUGAUGAGAACAAGGGUGGCCGGAUCUUCUGAAAGGUUCUGUUAACUCUCGAUUUGGUGGAGACGAGACACAAAUCGAUCCGGCUUCCGAACAACACGAAGGCAAACCCUGCAAUUUUUUUUAUUUUUUUGAUAUUUUUCUUUUACUUAGGUGCACUAAAGAAGUAACCACAGAAAAUUUGAGCUUAAUCAAGUGAAAGACGUGGCCUGCAGAAUUUUGUAAAGAUUGUGAAAAAUGUGAAAAAAAACUUCACAAGGUGAUAACUUAAACUUCGGAGGUGUAUUUGGAAAUUUUAAAAUUUUCAAUCCCGCUAGUGGUAGGGACAGGCAAACCCGAAAUUUUUUCUGAUUGAUUUUGAUAUAUGGAACAUUGAAAUCGGAGUUCGUACGCGAAUGUUAUGGCUAUUUUACGAACAGACUCCGAAUUAGAGAACAAAACGGUCCGAAAGUGGGAAAAAUUUGCGGCGGUGGCUAGAAAUUGAUGGAAACCUGCGGACUUUGAAUGUGAAAUAUGCAAAAGCUAUGGCGCGGAAGGGUUGUAGAAUAGGAAAAUAAUAUGGCACUGGACUUAUGGGACGAACACAAGAACACUCGAAACUAAGGGUAGAUGUGAACCUAACGGUAUACCUAAAGCUUUGAUUACCACUUGAUGAGAACAAGGAUGGCCCGAUCUUCCGAAAGGUUCUGGUAACUCUCGAUUUGGUGGAGACGAGACACAAAUCGAUACGGCUUCUGAACAACACAAUCUGAAACCCUUCAUUUUUUUAUUUUUUUGAUAUUUUUAUUUUACUUAGGAGCACUAAAGGAGUAACCACAUAAAAUUUGAGCUUAAACAAGUGAAAGACAUGGCCUGUGGAAUUUCUGAAGAUUGUGAAAAAUGUGAAAAGAACUUCACGUAUUGGAAACUCAAACUUCGGAGGCGAAUUUCAGGAUUCUAAAGUGGUCAAACCCGCGAAAGUUAGGGACAAACAGACCUGAAAUUUUUUUCUGAUCGAUUUUGAUAUAUGGAACGUUGAAAUCGGAGUUCGUAUGCAAAAGUUAUGGCUGUUUUACGAACAGACUCCGAAUUAGAGGACAAAACGGUCCGAAAGUGGGAAAAAUUUGCGGCGGUGGCUAGAAAUUGAUGGAAACGGUGGGGAAAACACAUGAACUGGACUCUAACAAGACCUAACCAGCAACAAGACCUCGACCAGGACACAAACUCAACACUGCGGACUCUGAAACUGAAAUAUGCAAAGGCUAUGGCGUGGAAGGGUUGUAGGAUGGAAAAACGAUAUGGCACUGGACUUAUGGGACGAACACAACACUCAAAACUAAGGGUAGAUGUGAACCUAAUGGUAUACCUGAAGCUUUGAUUACCACUUGAUGAGAACAAGGGUGGCCCGAUCUUCUGAAUGGUUCUGGUAACUCUCGAUUUGGUGAAGACGAGACACAAAUCGAUCUGGCUUCCGAACAACACGAUCCGAAAUCCCGCAUUUUUUUAUUUUUUUAAUAUUUUCCUUUUACUUAGGAGCACUAAAGAAGUAACCAUAGAAAAAUUGAGCUUAAACAAGUAAAAGACGUGGCCUGCGGAAUUUUGUGAAGAUUACAAAAAAUGUGAAAAAAACUUCACAAGGUGAAAACUCAAACUUCGAAGACGAAUUUGGAGAUUCUAAAAUUUUCAAACCCCCUAAAACCGAGGACACACAGAC